rnacentral:rRNA from 1 species
AGAGUUUGAUCCUGGCUCAGGAUGAACGCUAGCUACAGGCUUAACACAUGCAAGUCGAGGGGAAACGACAUCGAAAGCUUGCUUUUGAUGGGCGUCGACCGGCGCACGGGUGAGUAACGCGUAUCCAACCUGCCCACCACUUGGGGAUAACCUUGCGAAAGUAAGACUAAUACCCAAUGACGUCUCUAGAAGACAUCUGAAAGAGAUUAAAGAUUUAUCGGUGAUGGAUGGGGAUGCGUCUGAUUAGCUUGUUGGCGGGGUAACGGCCCACAAGGCGACGAUCAGUAGGGGUUCUGAGAGGAAGGUCCCCCAGAUUGGAACCUGAGACACGGUCCAAACUCCUACGGGAGCA